GUACGGUUGCUAUACACGAAUCGUUGGUGGCGAGAACGAAGUAGGUUCUUGCCAGACUUGGAAAACCAAACGCUUCCACUGCAUGUGUAUCGAAUAACGGAAGCCCAACGUAGCCCAACACAUCCGUGCCCUUAUUUUUCACUUUUGUUGAAAAAUUUCGAGAAUUUCACAACAGGACGUUACUAGCGGUCAGUUAGCCCAGCUGUCGGGCACUGACCAUAACCAUCGACACCUCCUGGUACUGACAGAUACCAACGCCAAACCACCCUGGUGACAUUUGCCCAUCACAACGGCUUCCGUUACCAAACUUCCCCUUGAAAAGGCUGCCUCUUUGUUUGAGUGAAGUUGAGCUUUCCAUUUU